AUUGAACGCUGGCGGCAGGCCUAACACAUGCAAGUCGAACGAGUGGCGGACGGGUGAGUAAUGUCUGGGAAACUGCCUGAUGGAGGGGGAUAACUACUGGAAACGGUAGCUAAUACCGCAUACCAUCAGAUGUGCCCAGAUGGGAUUAGCUAGUUGGUGGGGUAACGGCUCACCAAGGCGACGAUCCCUAGCUGGUCUGAGAGGAUGACCCGCCACAAUGGAACCUAGAACAGGGCCAGGCUCCGACGGGAGGCAGGAGUGGGGAAUAUUGGACCAAGGGCGAAAGCCUGAUGCAGCCAUGCCGCGGGGAUGAAGAAGGCCUUGGGGGUGUAAAGUACUUUCAGCGGGGAGGCGUUACCCGCAGAAGAAGCAACGGCUAACCCCGUGCCAGCAGCCGCGGUAAUAC
rnacentral:rRNA from 1 species